UACAGAGGUCCCAAGCGUUGUUCGGAUUCAUUGGGCGUAAAGGGUGUGUAGGUGGCGCGCUAAGUCGGGUGUGAAAUUUCGGAGCUUAACUCCGAAACUGCAUUCGAUACUGGCGUGCUUGAGGACUGGAGAGGAGACUGGAAUUCAUGGUGUAGCAGUGAAAUGCGUAGAGAUCAUGGGGAAGACCAGUGGCGAAGGCGGGUCUCUGGACAGUUCCUGACACUGAGACACGAAGGCCAGGGGAGCAAACGGG
rnacentral:rRNA from 1 species